AUUGAACGCUGGCGGCAGGCUUAACACAUGCAAGUCGAGCGGAGAUGAGGUGCUUGCACCUUAUCUUAGCGGCGGACGGGUGAGUAAUGCUUAGGAAUCUGCCUAUUAGUGGGGGACAACAUUCCGAAAGGAAUGCUAAUACCGCAUACGUCCUACGGGAGAAAGCAGGGGAUCUUCGGAACUUGCGCUAAUAGAUGAGCCUAAGUCGGAUUAGCUAGUUGGUGGGGUAAAGGCCUACCAAGGCGACGAUCUGUAGCGGGUCUGAGAGGAUGAUCCGCCACACUGGGACUGAGACACGGCCCAGACUCCUACGGGAGGCAGCAGUGGGGAAUAUUGGACAAUGGGGGAAACCCUGAUCCAGCCAUGCCGCGUGUGUGAAGAAGGCCUUAUGGUUGUAAAGCACUUUAAGCGAGGAGGAGGCUACUGAGACUAAUACCCUUGGAUAGUGGACGUUACUCGCAGAAUAAGCACCGGCUAACUCUGUGCCAGCCGCCGCCGUAAAAC
rnacentral:rRNA from 1 species